GUCAACACUGAACAGAUAACUUAAGUCCUCUGUGGAGUGGCAGAAAAGCUAUCAAAGAACUUUUGGACAAUUACAAUUAUUUGGUUUUUAGAAACUGCUUGUAUCUGGAUACGUUAUCUGACAAUACAAAAAAAAAUUUAAAAAUUAAGCUGGUUUUGGCUUAAUUUAGCAACUAUCAAACAGUAUUCUUGACAACUGAGUGUCAUUAACCAACCUGCCCAAGGACACACAGCUGGUGGCUAGGCCAGACCCUGGAUCUGUAAGAAAAAGUAGCCCAUGAUCACAUCAACACCUCCCACAGUUCUCAAGGUCGGGCAAAGUUAUGGGAGUGGCGGUAAUGAGGAUGAUGUCAGGGCACAGCUGGAGGAGCCUCAUGUGAUGGCAAUCGCUUCUCAUCAGCCCCGAUGAGGCCAGAGGACAGAAAGUGGAAAGAGGAAUGACUAAAACUGGAUGAUAAAUUUGAAAAUCUCAUCACAGUUUAAUGAGCUGCCCGUUUUUAAUGCCCUCCUCUGUUACACAUUACAUUCUGCACAAGAUUGUUCCCAGUAGGAAUGGGACCUUCCUGAGCCUACAGUAAGCUAAAAUGCAAUGUCGCCAUUCACAGAGACCUGAAUGAAUACAGUCAGAAAAGAUGUCUCCUCCGUGGGUCCACAACUCUCUGGAUCUUCUCCAAGUUGUUGUGAAGAGAAGGUGAUAGGAUUCAGGAAUGGAAGAUCUCUGUGACCAUCAGCACUCUGAACUUCUCCUUCCCACUUCAGAGCAUUCACUGAUGAUAGGAGGUGCACCUGGACAAAGAUGAGCUCAGAUGUCCCCCACCUGGACACUCCUUCUAGGGUCAAGGAGCGUAAAAGUCCUACAGUAUAAUCACAAGGUUAAAACUAAUCCCUAAGGAUAUUCUCAGCAAUUACACCUUUAUAAUGUCAAUAGUCCACUCUGAACAAGUUAAACCUUCCUGCCCAUUAAUUUUCAAGAGGCCUAAGAAAUCAGGUGUAUGUCUGUUUUCGUUCCAUUUUGCUCUGUGCUAUCUCAAGCCUCUGCUUCAUCUAGGUGGAAUUCAAAAGGAGAAAAUGAACAGAAAGGCAAACAAUGCUCCUUAGAGUCUUCCAGAAACUGUAGACUGAAACUCUAUGUUCUAUUAACCUGGUUUGAAUGGAUUGGGGAUUUAUUUUUUUUUCAUAGAAAAGAAGUAAAAGGGAAAUCUGCUAUUAUAUCAGAAAUACAUUGCUCUCUCAGCCCUUUUCAUGUCUUUGUGAUGAUCAGAUUUUUCUAAUCUUUUCAGCAGUGUUCUUAAUAUAUUACAGAAUAAAUCCAGCAAUGGAAAGUUUAAAUUUAAAAGCUGACACUAGGAAAGCUAAGCAUUCACAAGACAGGUUACAAUGAAACUGCCUUGCUGCAAACCUUGCCUGGAGUGGCCGGUCUCCUUUUCAUCAUGAUCCGCUGGCUCAGAAAUUGCUCUGCUUGUAUGACUUUUCUUCGUAUUUGUUACAACAGCUCUAAUACAGCAAGCUAUGAGAAACAGUGUUGGAUCU
rnacentral:lncRNA from 1 species